AACGAACGCUGGCGGCAGGCUUAACACAUGCAAGUCGAACGCCCCGCAAGGGGAGUGGCAGACGGGUGAGUAACGCGUGGGAAUCUACCCAUCCCUACGGAACAACUCCGGGAAACUGGAGCUAAUACCGUAUACGCCCCCUGGGGGAAAGGUUUAUCGGGGAUGGAUGAGCCCGCGUUGGAUUAGCUAGUUGGUGGGGUAAAGGCCUACCCAGGCGACGAUCCAUAGCUGGUCUGAGAGGAUGAUCAGGCACAUUGGGACUGAGACACGGCCCAAACUCCUACUGGAGGCAGCAGUGGGGAAUAUUGGACAAUGGGCGCAAGGCUGAUCCAGCCAAGCCGCGUGAGUGAUGAAGGCAUAGGGUUGUAAAGCUCUUUCACCGGAGAAGAUAAUGACGGUAUCCGGAGAAGAAGCCCCGGCUAACUUCGUGCCAGCCGCCGCAGUAAGAC
rnacentral:rRNA from 1 species